rnacentral:rRNA from 1 species
GACGUAGGGCGCGAGCGUUGUCCGGAUUUAUUGGGCGUAAAGAGCUCGUAGGCGGCUUGUUGCGUCGACCGUGAAAACCCGGGGCUCAACUUCGGGCUUGCGGUCGAUACGGGCGGGCUAGAGUUCGGUAGGGGAGACUGGAAUUCCUGGUGUAGCGGUGAAAUGCGCAGAUAUCAGGAGGAACACCGGCGGCGAAGGCGGCACUCUGGGCCGGUACUGACGCUGAGGAGCGAAAGCGUGGGUAGCAAACAGG